rnacentral:lncRNA from 1 species
ACCACUAUUUCUCUAAAAAAAACGCGUCGCUUUUGAAAUGGCGAUGAAGCUAAUAACCUCUUAAAAAAACCAUAAAAUAAAAAAUAAUAUACAUAACACUACGAAAUGACAUACGCCGCUUCUAAAUGUUGAGAAGAUGAAGCUAGUGACCUCUUAACAAGUCGAUGACGGUGUAGAAACGAUGAAAUGAAUCAAUAGCCGG